AGAAGCACAGACAGAAGUCAACCAGUCAACCAUUAAUAUAAAGUCUUUCAUGGCUACAAAGGAUUUUUUGCAGAUUACUGUGCUUAUUUUGGUUUGGUGUUUCAUUUUUGUUUUGGCAUUUGCUAUCUGCUUGUUUUUAUCAAUAAAUUGGAAAAGCAAAAGUGAAACUCCACAUCAGAUAAGUUAUGAAGAUGAGGUCUCUGAAGUUAUGACAAGAAAACAUAAACAUAAAAGUUACAAAGAGAAGAUGAACUCAGUUUAUAUCGAAUGGUUUCCAGAUUGACCUCAGGAGAGGAACAGAUGCAAAUGUCACUUACGCGUUGUACUGAAGUACAUAUGAAUCAAGAGAUGUGAAAACCUUCAACCUGUUUUUGUUUAAGUGAAACUCAAUGGCUAAAAAAAUCGUAUUAUAAGCGUGAACUCCACAGGAACCGUUCUUUUAGCACAUUUCGCAAUGUUUUUUUUACUUGACUGAGGCUCCCUGUAAUCUGAUCAAUAGCACCACCCAGCGGUCUGAUUCUACUUCACAUAUAAAUAUUUCAAUCAAUUUUAAAUGAUACUUUUUGUUAGUAUUACUAUGUUGCCCUAAAAAAUAUCUAUACAAAACUUAAAAAUAAAAAGUCUCUCACUUCCGCCAGAUCAACUUUUUCUAAGUGGGCGGGGCCGUACAACAUCCCCCGCCCUAAUUUCCACAAACACGUCAACUCAGUAAACAUAUGCGCAUUUUAGUGGAUCUUUAAAUGUUUUUAUGUGGUUAAUGGAAACACAGAGGUGAGGGGACAUGUGUAAACAUUUUAUUAUCCAUUGUAGGAUGUGCACAUACAGGGAGAUUAUAGGUUGUAUUUCAAUUACAUCUGUAGAUGUGCUUUAAAACUGCUGUUUGCGCUUGAGAAAACAAUGAGCCAACAGGGGCGCAAAGGGGCUCACAGAGAAACCCGAAAAACUACACAAUAAUAUUUGUUGUCACUGUACAAGGUCUGUAAUUAAAACAGAUAGGUUUGUUUCUACAGCAGCUAUAACGUGUGUCAACAUCUGUAUGUAUAUCAAUAAGAUAUUUGCAUGUUUUGCAUGUAUGUGAAAAUGUAAAAAUUGUUUUAUGAAAUGUUUAUUUUGAUUUGAUUUACGUGCCUGUUAAACAUUGUUCAGUGUAAUAACUUGUACCAGUAUGUAUGGUAAAAUCAGGCAGUUUAGGAUGCGUUUAACUGUCAUCUUAACAUCAUCCAAUAGGCUAUAGCCUACAUACACAACAUAGGUAUACAAACAUGUUUUGUCACGAAGGCCUGUUGUACUUUAUUUACUUUAAGUUGUUUUAGUGUUUGUUAUAGGCUCUGCUUGUAAUAUAUAAGACUUUUGAAUACAUAAUCAUUAUUAUGUAUUACAACAAUAACAGCUUGCAUAGCAGAGCAACCUUUGUGAAAAAUAAAUGUACUUUUGGUGUGCUUUAGUGCAUUACUUAAAGAAAAACAUUAUAGUUUUGACAUUAAAGGCAACUUUAUUUUCAUUUAAAGGAGAAUACAUUUUUAUUUAAAAAAAUUCAGCACACUUAAGUGCAUCUUUUUUUUAU